UACAGAGGUGCCGAGCGUUAGGCGGAAUCACUGGGCUUAAAAGCGUGUGUAGGCGGAUGCCCUAAGUACCUUGUGAAAUCCCACGGCUUAACCGUGGAACUGCUCGGUAUACUGGGUGUCUUGAGCCACUUAGGGGUUACCGGAACAAAUGGUGGAGCGGUGAAAUGCGUAGAUAUCAUUUGGAACGCCAAUGGUGAAAACAGGUAACUGGGAGUGUGCUGACGUGAGACACGAAAGCCAGGG
rnacentral:rRNA from 1 species